rnacentral:rRNA from 1 species
AACGUAGGAGACAAACGUUAUCCGGAGUUACUGGGCGUAAAGGGCGUGUAGGUGGUUGCGUAAGUCUGGCGUGAAAUUUUUCGGCUUAACCGGGAAAGGUCGUCGGAUACUGCGUAGCUAGAGGACGGUAGAGGCGUGUGGAAUUCCGGGUGUAGUGGUGAAAUGCGUAGAGAUCCGGAGGAACACCAGUGGCGAAGGCGACACGCUGGGCCGUACCUGACGCUGAGGCGCGAAAGCGUGGGUAGUAAACAGG